rnacentral:rRNA from 1 species
AGUGAACGCUGGCGGUAGGCCUAACACAUGCAAGUCGAACGGCAGCACAGUAAGAGCUUGCUCUUACGGGUGGCGAGUGGCGGACGGGUGAGGAAUACAUCGGAAUCUACUUUUUCGUGGGGGAUACCGUAGGGAAACUUACGCUAAUACCGCAUACGACCUACGGGUGAAAGCAGGGGAUCUUCGGACCUUGCGCGAUUGAAUGAGCCGAUGUCGGAUUAGCUAGUUGGCGGGGUAAAGGCCCACCAAGGCGACGAUCCGUAGCUGGUCUGAGAGGAUGAUCAGCCACACUGGAACUGAGACACGGUCCAGACUCCUACGGGAGGCAGCAGUGGGGAAUAUUGGACAAUGGGCGCAAGCCUGAUCCAGCCAUACCGCGUGGGUGAAGAAGGCCUUCGGGUUGUAAAGCCCUUUUGUUGGGAAAGAAAAGCAGCAGGUUAAUACCCCGCUGUUCUGACGGUACCCAAAGAAUAAGCACCGGCUAACUUCGUG